rnacentral:rRNA from 1 species
AUUGAACGCUGGCGGCAGGCCUAACACAUGCAAGUCGAGCGAGCGGCGGACGGGUGAGUAAUGUAUGGGGACUGCCCGAUAGAGGGGGAUAACUACUGGAAACGGUGGCUAAUACCGCAUACUAACGGAUAACCCAUAUGGGAUUAGCUAGUAGGUGGGGUAAAGGCUCACCUAGGCGACGAUCUCUAGCUGGUCUGAGAGGAUGAUCAGCCACCGUGGGACUGAGGCCCGUACCAGACUCCUACGGAGACAGCAGUGGGGAAUAUUUCACAAUGGGAGCAAGCCUGAUGCAGCCAUGCCGCGUGUAUGAAGAAGGCCUUCGGGUUGUAAAGUACUUUCAGCGGGUAGGCGUUACCCGCAGAAGAAGCACCGGCUAACUCCGUGCCAGGAGCCGCGGUAAUUC